rnacentral:rRNA from 1 species
UACGAAGGGGGCUAGCGUUGUUCGGAAUUACUGGGCGUAAAGCGCACGUAGGCGGAUCGAUCAGUCAGGGGUGAAAUCCCAGGGCUCAACCCUGGAACUGCCUUUGAUACUGAAGAUCUUGAGUUCGGGAGAGGUGAGUGGAACUGCGAGUGUAGAGGUGAAAUUCGUAGAUAUUCGCAAGAACACCAGUGGCGAAGGCGGCUCACUGGCCCGAUACUGACGCUGAGGCACGAAAGCGUGGGGAGCAAACAGG